rnacentral:rRNA from 1 species
CGAGUGGCGAACGGGUGAGUAAUACAUCGGAACGUGUCCGCUCGGGGGGGACAACCAGCCGAAAGGUUGGCUAAUACCGCAUGAGUUCUACGGAAGAAAGAGGGGGACCCGCAAGGGCCUCUCGCGAGCGGAGCGGCCGAUGACUGAUUAGCCGGUUGGUGAGGUAACGGCUCACCAAAGCAACGAUCAGUAGCUGGUCUGAGAGGACGACCAGCCACACUGGGACUGAGACACGGCCCAGACUCCUACGGGAGGCAGCAG